rnacentral:tmRNA from 1 species
GGGAGCGUACUGGUUUCGACGGGGUUAUUGCAACUUGAGAAGCGGGUAGAGGAUUCUCGUUGGCCUCUUAAAAAAACGAGAAACUUUUAAAUGCCAAUAAACCGGCACUUGCCGCGGCAUAGUAGCUGCAGCCGUCACCUCUGCAUAUCUGCCAGCAGAAUUAGUGACGUUAUCAGGCAGACCUUAUCUGUAGAAGGUUAAACAGAGAACUUUCUAACCCCGGCUUGAAGGUUAGACCGUAUUACAAGCUACCGGACCGUCAAGUUUGUCAGCAGACAAGGCGGAAGGGGAAUACUCUAAUUACUGACUGCACCCGGAGAAUCUCUUGAGAAUAUGAUUUCGGACAGGGGUUCGACUCCCCUCGCUUCCACCA